CAGGGAGACAACAAAAUGUUUAAUAUUAUUAUUUUGUCACCUUAGGUCGAUCGGUAUCUCACAUUCUUAAUUUAUUAAGGAUUUUAUUUCCUAAGUUUUUUCUAGGUCACACCCAUUACUUUUCCUGGGCCAUUAGCUCAGGUGGUUAGAGCGCACCCCUGAUAAGGGUGAGGUCCCUGGUUCAAGUCCAGGAUGGCCCAUAUCUCUAUGUUGGGGGUAUAGCUCAGUUGGUAGAGCGCCUGCUUUGCAAGCAGGAUGUCAGCGGUUCGAGUCCGCUUACCUCCACUGAUUACCACCUCUUCCAUAAUUCUAUUGAGGAAACGUUAUGAGUAGUGAUCAAAUUCUGAUCGAAUCUAGCUUCCUAAUGAAAUCAUUAAGAUGCUGGACUCAUUGAAUUAUUUUCAUUGUUUUCAGAGAACCUUGACAACUGCAUAGAUUAUUUUUAAAGACAAUAAGCAUCUUUAUGAUGCAGAUUUUUUAUUUGUGCGAAUGCAUUAAUAACAAUUCUAUUAAGCUGAUGCUUCAA
rnacentral:tRNA from 1 species